AGACGAAUGUGGCAAGCGUUGUUCGGAAUCACUGGGCUUAAAGCGCUCGUAGGCGGUUUUGUAAGUCAGUUGUGAAAGCCCACGGCCCAACCGUGGAACUGCACCUGAAACUGCAAAACUGGAGGACAGUAGGGGAAUGUGGAAUUCUGGGUGUAGCGGUGAAAUGCGUAGAUAUCCAGGAGAACGCCGGUGGCGAAGGCGGCAUUCUGGGCUGUUCCUGACGCUGAGGGGCGAAAGCUAGGGGAGCGAACGGGAUUAGAAACCCCAGUAGUCC
rnacentral:rRNA from 1 species